rnacentral:rRNA from 1 species
UACGUAGGGUGCGAGCGUUAAUCGGAAUUACUGGGCGUAAAGCGUGCGCAGGCGGUUCGUUAAGUUCGUUGUGAAAGCCCCGGGCUCAACCUGGGAACUGCAAUGGAAACUGGCGGGCUUGAGUAUGGCAGAGGGGGGUGGAAUUCCGCGUGUAGCAGUGAAAUGCGUAGAGAUGCGGAGGAACACCGAUGGCGAAGGCAGCCCCCUGGGUCAACACUGACGCUCAUGCACGAAAGCGUGGGGAGCAAACAGG